rnacentral:rRNA from 1 species
AGUGAAUAGAUACCCGGGUAGUCCACGCCCUAGACUAUGUCAACUAGUUGUCGGGUCUUAUUAGAUUUGGUAAACGUAGCUAAACGCGUGAAGUUGACCGCCUGGGGAGUGCGGUCGCAAGAUUAAAACUCAAAGGAAUUGACGGGGACCCGCACAAGCGGUGGAUUAUGUGGAUUAAAUUCGAUGCAACGCGAAAAACCUUACCUACCCUUGACAUGUCAGAAAGUUUUCAGAGAUGAAAUCGUGCUCGAAAGAGAAUCUGAACACAGGUGCUGCAUGGCUGUCGUCAGCUCGUGUCGUGAGAUGUUGGGUUAAGUCCCGCAACGAGCGCAACCCUUGUCAUUAAUUGCCAUCAUUUAGUUGGGCACUUUAAUGAGACUGCCGGUGAUAAACCGGAGGAAGGUGGGGAUGACGUCAAGUCCUCAUGGCCCUUAUGGGUAGGGCUUCACACGUAAUACAAUGGCGCGUACAGAUGGUUGCCAACUCGCGAGAGGGAGCUAAUCUCAGAAAGCGCGUCGUAGUCCGGAUCGGA